rnacentral:rRNA from 1 species
UGGGGAAUUUUGGACAAUGGGCGAAAGCCUGAUCCAGCAAUGCCGCGUGUGUGAAGAAGGCCUUCGGGUUGUAAAGCACUUUUGUCCGGAAAGAAAUCCUUGGCUCUAAUACAGUCGGGGGAUGACGGUACCGGAAGAAUAAGCACCGGCUAACUACGUGCCAGCAGCCGCGGUAAUACGUAGGGUGCAAGCGUUAAUCGGAAUUACUGGGCGUAAAGCGUGCGCAGGCGGUUUGCUAAGACCGAUGUGAAAUCCCCGGGCUCAACCUGGGAACUGCAUUGGUGACUGGCAGGCUAGAGUAUGGCAGAGGGGGGUAGAAUUCCACGUNUAGCAGUGAAAUGCGUAGAGAUGUGGAGGAAUACCGAUGGCGAAGGCAGCCCCCCUGGGCCAAUACUGACGCUCAUGCACGAAAGCGUGGGGAGCAAACAGGAUUAGAUACCCUGGUAGUCCACGCCCCUAAAACGAUGUCAACUAGUUGUUGGGGAUUCAUUUCCUUAGUAACGUAGCUAACGCGUGAAGUUGACCGCCUGGGGGAGUACGGUCGCAAGAUU